rnacentral:rRNA from 1 species
UGAUUCCUUAGUACGGCGAGUGAACCGGGAAGAGCUCAAAUUUGAAAUCUGGCUGUCUUCGAUAGUCCGAGUUGUAAUCUAUAGAAGCGUUUUCCGUGCUGAACUGUGUCUAAGUCCUCUGGAACGAGGUAUCAAAGAGGGUGACAAUCCCGUACUUGACACAAUCAUCAGUGCUCUGUGAUACGUUCUCUACGAGUCGAGUUGUUUGGGAAUGCAGCUCAAAAUGGGUGGUAAAUUCCAUCUAAAGCUAAAUAUUGGCGAGAGACCGAUAGCGAACAAGUACCGUGAGGGAAAGAUGAAAAGCACUUUGGAAAGAGAGUUAAACAGUACGUGAAAUUGUUAAAAGGGAAACGAUUGAAGUCAGUCGUGUUUAUUGGAUUCAGCCGGUCUUCGGUGUACUUCCUUUAAACGGGUCAACAUCAGUUUUGUUCGGUGGAUAAAGGCAGUAGGAAUGUGGCUCCCUCGGGAGUGUUAUAGCCUAUUGUCACAUACACUGGAGGAGACUGAGGACUGCAGCUCGCCUUUUUGGCCGGGGUUCGCCCACGUUCGAGCUUAGGAUGUUGACAUAAUGGCUUUAAACGACCCGUCUUGAAACCACGGCCC